rnacentral:ncRNA from 2 species
GCAUUAAAGUAUCACCGAAGUCUAAAUCGACCUAAGUCACAAUGAUAUGGCGUUUAGACCCUUAGCAUCGACUAAGCAGGGUAGAGUGCAGAAAUGGCUUUGCCUCCCGCAUUUGGAAAGGUUGAUUUAUGUUAUCGGA